UUAGGCAGUCUAGGGAAAAGUGGUCACUACCCAGAAAUGUCCAUUACUGAACUAACCACUUAUACAACUAAUCCCCAUCCAACUAGCUCUCCUGGCUUAGCAGAACAUUUAUAUCAGCCUAUUGUGCCAAUGUCUUGGUUAGUCUCUCACUGACUAUCAAAUAUUAUAAAAAGCCAACAAUGUGAUACAAUAUAAUACAAAUUGACUGCAAAGAGAAAUUAUGCAUAUUUCAAAAGUUGUAGAAUUUUAUGAAAGAAUGAAAGUAAUGUUGGUGAGCUGCAUAAAUCGCAUUUUAAGCCACUAUUUGACAUAUAGGGAUCUGGCAGAGUUAAUUUAACAAUCAGAGAAGAGAAGGCCAGGCGCGGUGGCUCACGCCUGUAAUCCUAGCACUUUGGGAGGCCAAGGCGGGUGGAUCACGAGGUCAGGAGAUCGAGACCAUCCUGGCUAACAAGGUGAAACCCCAUCUCUACUAAAAAAUACAAAAAUUAGCCGGGAGUGGUGGCGGGCGCCUGUAGUCCCAGCUACUCGGGAGGCUGAGGCAGGAGAAUGGCAUGAACCCGGGAGGCUGAGCUUGCAGUGAGCCGAGAUGGCGCCACUGCACUCCAGCCUGGGCAACAGAUCGAGA
rnacentral:lncRNA from 10 species